UAUAUAUAGAGAGAGAGAGAGUUUGUUGUUAACAGGAAAGAGAAGUUGGUGUUUCUGGGCCACAAGUGGGCGGAAGAAAAAGUAAAAGUUCAAAGGUGUGACUGAUGAGCUCAAAUCUUUACAAUCACACGAUUCUAAGGUGACGACGACCUAGAAUGCAGGAGCUCAUACACCACCUCUUCCAGACGCUGUUCUCAACUCAAAACGGCUUAAUCUGUUCAACUUGUAAUAGAGAGGUUGUAUGUAUCACGGGGAAUGGGAUCAACUGGAAGUCUGGAAGGGACAAGUUUUCUCAAAGAUGCGGAACCACACACUAACAAACACAAUUGAUUGAUUAAUUUCUAAUCCCACAACUUGGUUUAUUCUUGAAAUUCAGUGCUGUCUGUUUUAAAAACUAACUAACUCUAGGAAGAAGACUCAGAAGACCUCUAAUGGGUGGCUUGCUUGUCCAGUUGUCCCCUUAGCUUCACGUUUCUUCUUUUGUUUUUACUUCUGCUUUGAAAACCAAAUGAUUGAUUAAUUCCUCCUAUGAUCUUUCACGAGUUUUUCGCAAUGCAAGUUUUUUUCCUUUCCAUAA